ACAGAAAGGCUGCUGCAUCCUGUCAUUGAAAGUCACUGCAGUGGAGCCCAAAAUGAUCCCUUCCAAAUUUCCCCAGAACUCAGGAGUUCAAACACUUACGAUAAAGCAAAGACAAAGACUUUUUGACACCAAGGAGAAAUAGAGGGCAGAGCAGGUCUUCUUCCGGGACAGGAGUGGCUUCAGCAGAUGAGGACACUGUCACAACCACAAUCAGAAGGAAUCUGGGGGUUAUCUGAGGUCUCUGAAUGCAUCCCUUUAAAUG